UUCACUCUUUUCAGCCUCACUGGAUAACUUCAUAGUGGACUCAGAAGUCUGCAACAAGUGGCCCCAACGUGGGGCAAUUGGGAGCCUGAAAGAGUGGCUUUCCCUGGUGAGGAGCCCUUGACCCAGGUGGGCUGCCUGGCCAGCAGCUGUGAUGAGGAGCGCUCCACCCGCCUGAAACAAGAUGGGAAAUGGAGUCACUGAAAACUUUGAGAAAUGUGCCUGGAUACCGGAGAAAAAUGUCAGAGCGUGUGUAACAACUCACAGCUCGAAUGCAGAGUAUGAGAAUUCAGGGGAAGCGCAGAAGGAGCCAAACGAGUCGCCUUCCUACAUAGAGGUCAAGUGAAAGCUCCCUCUCGUCAAGUGAUAAAAGACUCCUGAACUUGUAUUUUUAGCAAUGGUAGCUUUACUUUCUGCUCAAGUUUGUAAUGUACAGAAUGGUCAGCACUGGACUUCUUUUUCCUUUUCCACCCUGGUUGCAACCUAUCACAGAUAUGGACAAAUUGGGACUAUAUAUAUACUAAUAACACCUGUAUAUUCAGAAGACAAGAAGAUCCCUAUCUCUAGGACAAAGUCGAUGUUAUGAUUACCCUCAGAUCUCUAGCAUCCAGGACACUUACAUGUUUUUCAGAAUUUAGCAACAAUAUUGAAUCAUGUCUUUUCUUUCUUACAUCAUUUGUUAAUACCUAUUUGUCUAAUGGAUAUGUAAAUUUUAUUCAAUCUAAUACUAUUUUUGAAUUGGAAUGUUAUUUGUGUCAGUUGUACUCUCAAACAAUGUAUUGAUCAUAAUGACUAUGUUGUACUUUUGGUAAAACAAUAAUCAUUUAUUAUUUUCCCUACUAAUAUUUCACAUGAACAGUUCCAGAACUCUGGAAAACGUGCUCCUAAAAUUAGUAUUUCCUCCUUAAGUCAAUCGAAACAAUUUAUUGGUCUCCUUAUUAUUGGUUCAAUCAUUGUUGCUUCUUUUAUUGUAUCUACUACUAUUUUAUCUAUUGUGCUUCAAUUUAAAUUUUAAACUGCAUAAAUUGUAUAUUACUUACCAGUGUUUAAUACUUAAAGCUUAAGAAGCAACUGAGUUAUUGCAUAAAGUCAAUUUAUUAGAGCAAUCAGCAUUGUAAGUUAGAUCUCUUGAAAAGAAGAUUGCUAUUGCAAUGUGAUUAUAGAAUAUUUACAUUACCCUGCUCCCUAUGAUGCUUCAUGAGACAAGAGACUUACCCACCUAUUGAGGGCAUGGCACAAUUCUAAUAUUACCCUCAAUGUUAAUACCCUUCAUGAUAUUACUGCCAAUUUUGAACUGCUCAGUAUGCUAACAAUUGGUCUACGAUUUUACAAUAUUAAAUUUAUAGAGAUACUAUGGUGCAACAAGAAUUGGAUCUUUUAGAACAAUCAGUAAUUGCAUUAGGUAAACAUAACAACAAUUAGAAAUGCACUUCAAUUUGAAAUGUGAUUAUUGCUAUUCGCUUAUCUGUGUAACUCCAUAUGUGUAUUCAAACUUUACUAAUGUAACUAUCGAACAAGUAUUAAAUAAGCUCCAAGGUGCAUGGCACUCUGUCAAUAUCACCUGGGACAUUAAUCAGCUAUCCAAAAUACGACAUGAAAUUGCUGAUUCUCGUAUUGAUGGUAUUGAUCCUAAAGAUAUUGCAAACAAAUUGUUAGAUUGGAUUGAUCAACUUAAUCCUCUUAAGAAUGUAUUAAGUUUGCUGUUACAUUUUUUACCUUGGCUAUGUUUUGUAUUAAUUUUGUGUUUCCUCCUUCCCUGCUUGUUAAAAUACACUCGCCAUACUUUAGGUGAGAUUUUUUCAUCCCUUCAUCUUCUCAGGUUUAACAGUCAGAGGGGGGAGGUUGUUGAGGGCUUGCACUGAUGGGUUUGAGGAUAUAGGUCAUGUCGGGAUGUUCGUGUUCCUGUCCAUUAUCUAAGAGCCGUCUCGGUCAGAACGUAGGCUCUGACCUCUUCCAGGUGCUGUCUGACCCUUGAGAGGACGAAGGAUUUGUCAAUAAACCUUGAAAGAUAAUCGGGAAGUGAAGAGAUGAUUCCGGGGGGUUACUGCCCCCAGUGACUGUUACCAUGAGAAGAAUUACUUGUUGAUACUUGGUUUUUUCCAUUCUUGAUUCUGUUCCCACGAAUGGGGUGUAAAACCCCUAACUCUGAGAUCAAUAAACGGAGCUUGUUUAUACUUGCUA